rnacentral:lncRNA from 1 species
GGCGGCGGCGGCGGGAGCCGGAGCACAGCGCGCCCAGGAGCCGGAGCAGCGGCACUGCCUGAACCAGACAGCAGCCUUGGGUGCAGGCGUGGUCCUGAGGGCAGAUGGGCACUGCUGAAGACCCGGCCUGGCUCCAGCUGCUUCAAAAGGACUCCAGCCCCCCAGGACCCCGACCCACAGCCUUCUUCUGCCCACAGGAUGGGAGCCUGGGGGCUGGCAGCCCGGCCAUGAGGGAUUACUGCCCCUCCCAGCAAAAGGAGGCACCCUCCGAGGAGACAUUGGAGGCACCUGGAGCCUCCAUCUCAGGGACACCAGAAACCACCAUGUCUGGGAAGCCAGAGCCUGUGUCCUCCGUGAAAACUGAGCCCAAAUCCUCAGAUGACAGAAUUCCUAUGUUCUUGGAGAAGAUGGAUUCCAAGUCCUCAAAGCAGGCCGAUUCCACUUCCACAGGAAAGGAGGAUCCUGGGUCCUCGCAGAAGGCAGAUCCUAUGUUUACAGGACAAGCAGAGCCUGAAAUCUUAGGAAAGGGGGAUCCUGUGGCUCCUGGAAGGAGGGAUCCCAUGACUCUAAGAAAGGAAGAUCUUGGAUCCCUGGGAAAAGUAGAUUCUGUGUGCUCCAGCAAGAUGGAUACAGUGUCACCGAGAAAGGAGGAUCCUGGGUCUUUGAGAAAGAUGGAUCCUGUGUCCUCAGACAAAGUGGACCCUGUAUUCCCAAGAAAGGAGGAGCCCAGGUAUUCAGGAAAAGAGCAUCCCGUGUCCUCAGAAAAGGUGGCUCCUACAUCUGCAGAAAAGGUAGAUCUUGUGUUGUCAGGAAAGAGAGAUCCUGGGCCCUUGGGAAAGGCGGAUCCUGUGUCCUUGGAAAGCAUGGAUUCUGUGUCCACAGGAAAGACAGAGCCUGGACUCCUGGGCAAGCUGACUCCAGGCUCAUCCAGCAAGAAUGGGCCUGUAUCCUCUGGGACGGGGGCUCCUAGGUCCUCGGGAAGGCUGGAUCCCACAUGCUUGGGGAUGGCAGAUCCCGUAUCUGUGGGAAAUGGAGAAACUGUGCCCACCACAAAAGAGGACUCCUGGCUCCUGGGAAAGAUGGACGCUGCCUCCUCAGGAGAGGGGCGUCCUGUGUCUGGCCACACGGAUACCACGGCUUCAGCAAAGACAGAUCUCACGUCUUUCAAAAAGGUGGAUCCCGUGUCUUCAGGCAAGGUGGAUCCAGUUUCUCUGGGAAAGAUGGACCCCAUGUGCUCAGGAAAGCCAGAGCUCUUGUCUCCUGGACAGGCAGAACGUGUGUCUGUGGGAAAGGCGGGAACUGUAUCCUCAGGAAAAGAGGACCCGGUGUCCUCCAGAGAGGACCCCAUAUCUGUGGAAAGUAGAAAGACAUCAUCUGAAACAGUGAAUCCUGAGUCUUUGGGAAAGACAAACCCUGUGUCUUCAGGUCCAGGUGAUACCAGGUCCUUGGGGACAGCAGGUCCCCCAUCUGCAGUAAAGGCUGAGCCAGCGACUGGCGGAAAAGGAGAUCCCCUGUCUCCGGAGAAGGCAGGUCUGGCCGCCUCUGGAAAGGCGGCUCCCACAGCCUCAGGGAAGGCCAAGCCCCUGGCGGUAGGCAAGGAGGACCCUGUGAGCAGGGGAAAGGCAGACGCUGCCCCCUCUGGACAAGGGGACUCUGUGUCUAGAGGUAAAGUGGUCUCAACUCCAGGAAAAGCAGUCCCGGUGCCCUCGGGGAAGGUGGAUCCCGUGUCCCUGGGAAAAGCAGAGGCUAUCCCAGAGGGAAAGGUGGGUUCUCUGCCUCUAGAGAAGGGGAAUCCAGUUAACACCACAAAGGCGGAUCCCAAGGCCUCAGGGAAAGCAGAGGCGCAGUCUGGCGGCAAAGCAGAAACGAAGCUCUCUGGGCAAGAGGGCGCCACAGCACCAGGAGAAGCAGGGGCUGUGUCUUUGAAAAAGGAGACACCGCAGGCCUCAGAGAAGGUGGAUCCUGGAUCCUGCAGAAAAGCAGAGUCCAUCUCCCUUGCUUCAGGGAAGGGAGAGCCUGUGUCCCUGGGGAAGGCCGACUCUGCACCUUCCAGAAAAAUGGAGUCCUCAUCCUUGGGGAAGGUGGCCUCCCUGACUCUGGAGAAGACCAAGCCGCCCUCCUCCUCCAGGCAGUUAGACGGCAAAGCCCUCGGCUCAGCCCGGUCUCCCGAGGGUGCCAGGGGCAGUGAAGGCCGCGUGGAGCCGAAGCCCGAGCCCGUGUCCAGCACCGAGGCCUCCAGCCUCGGCCAGAAAGACCUGGAAGCCGCUGGGGCCGAGAGAAGCCCCCGCCCAGAGGCCGCAGCGCCCCCACCGGGACCGCGGACUCGCGACAACUUUACCAAGGCGCCAUCGUGGGAGGCGAGCGCCCUGCCGCCGCCGCGCGAGGACGCGGG